AUGGGAAAAUACGCCUGGCUGCUAGUUCUUGCUGGCUCCCACAGCCCCCUGGACAUGAUGCCAGCCUGGGUCAAGUGGGACUCCUGUAUUCAAUUUCUCACAAUGAGGCUCUCUGCUCAGCUCCCGGGGCUACGGAUGCUCUGGGUGCCUGGUAUCAGAUGUGACAUCCAGAUGACCCAGUCUCCAUCCUCCCUGUCUGCAUCUGUAGGAGACACAGUCACCAGCACUUGCCGGGCAAGCCAGGGCAUUAACAAUGAGUUAGCCUGGUAUCAGCAGAAACCAGGGAAAGUCCCUAAGCUCCUGAUCUAUGCUACAUCCAGUUUGCAGACAGGGGCCCCAUCUCGGUUCAGUGGCAGUGGAUCUGGGACAGAUUUCACUCUCACCAUCAGCAGCCUGCAAUCUGAAGAUGUUGCAACUUAUUAGUGUCAACAGGAUUAUACUACCCCGUCCACAGUGUUACAAGCCAUAACAAAAACCCCCAGGGAAGCAGAUAAUCACAGGCAUGGCAAAGCCUCUUCUGAUUGCAUGAAGAACAGAGAUGAUUAUGCCUGAGAAGUCUGAGUUAUAGUGUGAAUUGGAAUUAAUAUCAUAAAGGAGACAGC